rnacentral:rRNA from 1 species
ACGUCGACCGGCGCACGGGUGAGUAACGCGUAUCCAACCUUCCCGUUACUGCGGGAUAACCUGCCGAAAGGCAGACUAAUACCGCAUGUUCUUCGAUGACGGCAUCAGAUUCGAAGCAAAGAUCCGUCGGUAACGGAGGGGGAUGCGUCUGAUUAGCUAGUUGGCGGGGCGACGGCCCACCAAGGCGACGAUCAGUAGGGGUUCUGAGAGGAAGGUCCCCCACAUUGGAACUGAGACACGGUCCAAACUCCUACGGGAGGCAGCAGAC